rnacentral:rRNA from 1 species
CACGUAGGGUGCGAGCGUUGUCCGGAAUUAUUGGGCGUAAAGAGCUCGUAGGCGGUUUGUUGCGUCGGCUGUGAAAUCCCGAGGCUCAACCUCGGGUCUGCAGUCGAUACGAGCAAACUAGAGUGUUGCAGGGGAGACUGGAAUUCCUGGUGUAGCGGUGAAAUGCGCAGAUAUCAGGAGGAACACCGGUGGCGAAGGCGGAUCUCUGGGCCUUACCUGACGCUGAGGCGCGAAAGCUAGGGAGCGAACAGG